rnacentral:rRNA from 1 species
CUAAUACGGGGUGUGGAUGACGGUACCAGCAUAAGAAGCACCGGCUAACUACGUGCCAGCAGCCGCGGUAAUACGUAGGGUGCGAGCGUUAAUCGGAAUUACUGGGCGUAAAGCGUGCGCAGGCGGUUUCGUAAGACAGAGGUGAAAUCCCCGGGCUCAACCUGGGAACUGCCUUUGUGACUGCGAGGCUAGAGUAUGGCAGAGGGGGGUGGAAUUCCACGUGUAGCAGUGAAAUGCGUAGAGAUGUGGAGGAACACCGAUGGCGAAGGCAGCCCCCUGGGCCAAUACUGACGCUCAUGCACGAAAGCGUGGGGAGCAAACAGGAUUAGAUACCCUGGUAGUCCACGCCCUAAACGAUGUCAACUAGGUGUUGGGAGGGUUAAACCUUUUAGUACCGUAGCUAACGCGUGAAGUUGACCGCCUGGGGAGUACGGCCGCAAGGUUAAAACUCAAAGGAAUUGACGGGGACCCGCACAAGCGGUGGAUGAUGUGGAU